UUUACUUCACUAAGUAGUUACCUUGAUGGACUUUAUUUCUGUUGGCAAUUACCGAAAUCUGUGUCCCUCACUUAUCUCGCCAGCAAUACGUAUCAGGGGAGUGCUUCCUUUUCCUGCAUUGUCCAUGGAAACACACCCCACUGCUGCCUCAUGUCUCCUUUGAUCUCUAAUGUUGGUUUUGAUCUUUUACACUUUUUUUGCUCACUUUACGUACUGUGAAUAGAUACAGGUUCCCUGAAAGAUAGGAAAGGUCACAUUCAAGUCCUUAAGAAGGUAUUUUUGAUUUCUUUGAGCACAUUGUUUCUAACCCCAUGUUGUUUGUUUGAUUUCUAUUUUUCAAAUAUACAUAGUUAACUAUUUCUUCUAUGCCAUGGAAGUAAGUGACUUGGCCAAGAAGAUGAAUUUGGAAAGAAAUAUGAGCUAUCUACUCUUACCUCUCGCUCCUAGGGAAGCACACUCAGACUGUAUCAACUAGGUCUGUACCUUCUGAGUAAGGUGUGGCACAGCUGCAUCAUCUCAAACAGAGCUCAGGGGAAGUGGUAGGACAAAUGCAUCUUUGUAGGAGUAAAAAGUUACAGGCAAGUACAGGAGGCUAUAAAUUCUCCCACUUCUGAAGCAGUGAAUAAGCAGGGUAUUUGGGAGUUACAAAAAAAUUCAGAUUCAUCUGUCCCUUUAAAACAGGAAAAAAAAUAAUUGGCAGUUAACUUCUCUACAUAUUGCAUCCAGGAACAAACAGUGAAAAAGCUAAAGAGCUGUCUUGACAGAGACACUCACAGUGGGAAAGAACUUGUGUGCCAUAUGUCCCUCUACCAUCUGUGUACGCUCUCUUCUGGGUCGUGACAUCUGGUUCUGCUUUGGUAGCUGGCUCCAGUUCCUGUAUUUUUAGAGUAAAUGGGACUUGAUUCUCCUCUGAGACUGAAGAGAAUAGACCACACGCUGACUUCUGCAAGAAAAGCCAAGUUUUUCAUAAAAAUAUGUCUCUGUAGCCUAGAUCUGAAUGGCUUGGUUCAUGCCAAUCUGUUUUCUGGACUGUCUGCCAUCCAGGAACACAGGAGAAGCAGGGAAAACAAGGGUGGAUGAUUAGGAUGGUUUGAGAAGCACUGCUCCUAUAGCACAGCCUUGGUAGGGUUAUCCAAGCUGUUUGAUGGUCUGUGUUCUUGUGGCUAUACUGUCUCCAGCACUCAAGUAUGGUCCCUUGGAGCCCCCUCUGUAGAUUACAGUACACAUGUCAGGAACACAUUGAGAUAAUGUCUCUCUUCUCUGGCCACACAUUUGGGUUUUAAGGAUUUUUUUUUGCCCUGUGAGUUUCAGUUGCUUUGGUGAAGGAGUUGAGUGAAAAAGGUUAUAUCCCAUAGUAAGCAGCACGAUCUGACACACCAACUUCUGAUGACAGGUAUUUUCAGCAACUAACACAUUUUUUCUCAUGUUUCAACCCAUUCCUUUCCCAAGCUUCAGCACAAUCUCAGUCCUGGCUAUGCAGCAGAUUAAAGAGAUGAUGGAUCUUCAGGAAAGAAAUAGCAGCCCUGUGUUUCUCCUUGUCUGAAGACACUGCAGAAACAGGAAGUCCACAUGGGUUCCUGGGGAUACCAGACUUGGAAGAGGGAUUUAAUAGGAGGUGAAUAAAAAGACAAAACAUAACAGGCUCAAGAAAUGACUGGUGCUGAGAGCAAUUGGAGGCUCAGAUAUUACUGCUAUGGAGUUAUGUUUUAUGUUGGAUAUGAUUUUACUCUUUAUUUUUCUUAUUAGUCCUUACAACAGAAAUACUGAUCUUGAUGGUCUGAACCAGCAGAGCUGUUGUCAUGUUUCUAUUAUAUUAACAAUAACAGCAAUACAAGGAUGGAGCUAUUCCAUCAGUUUGUAGCCACUGCUGAUGACAAGCAUUCUUUCACAUCUUUUUUCAUGUCUUUUACUGAUGGUUUAAUUCCAUAAAUGGCAAAUCUUGGAAGGAAUCAUUCUGUCUGAAUUGUAGACUCUUCAAAGUACAUCAUGGCCUGCUUCUUUUGUUUGUCAUUGCCUUUUCCUUCAUGUCAACAAAGUUUGUUGUCAUUGUCCAUUCUGUUGCCUCAAUAGGCUCCACAGUUGCAUUUUAUCCUGCUGAGAAUUUGUCAUUUUGCCAUGAUUUCAGUAAUCUCAACUAGCUGUUUGUUGGUUCAAGAUCUAGUAUUUCCAUUGUUUGUCACAGUAAUUUUUUUUUUUUUUGCCUUUUCAAGCUUUAAUGCACCACAUGAAGGGACCCUGUGUGUAAAAACCACCUGCAAACAUUUUGCUAGAGCAGGUUCUACUUUAGUCAUCACUAUCAUAUUGUCUUAGUCUUUAGAACAUAAAAAUUUAUUUCGUCUUAAUGCAGUUGAUAAUUUUACUGCUUCCUAUUGGAUAUUGCAUUUUGACUGAAACUGAUGGAUUCUUCUUUCUUCUCAUUAAUUUGCCCAGAAUUUCAGUCAUAAGAAGUUAGCUCCUUCUUUCCAAACGUUGUUUAACUCAAAUGACCAAACCAGAAGAAAUAGGUGGUAGUACUAAUCAAAUACAAUUGAGCACACUGGUACACAGUAAAUUCAGCUGACUUCAGCAGAAAAAGAUCCCUGUACCUGGAACCUCACAGACUUUUCUGUUGGCAUGGUGCAGAGAGAUGCACAGACUACACUUAAUCACUGUUGUAACAGUAUAUUUGGAAUUGAACUUCUAGAGUCAAUGUGAGCCUCAGAAUAGAUAUGGCAAAUACUACUUACAACCUCCUUAAAUUCCACCUUUUUAGCUACGAUGGUAGGUGGAGAUGUCCCCUAACAAUGACGCACAGAUGUUAUUUAAAUAGGUUCCAUUCUAGGUUUUCUAUUCUCCAGCUCAAAAAGGCAAC